UACGUAGGGCGCAAGCGUUGUCCGGAAUUAUUGGGCGUAAAGAGCUCGUAGGCGGUGUGUCGCGUCGGCUGUGAAAACCUGGGGCUUAACCCCGGGCCUGCAGCCGAUACGGGCAGACUAGAGUUCGGCAGGGGAGACUGGAAUUCCUGGUGUAGCGGUGAAAUGCGCAGAUAUCAGGAGGAACACCAAUUGCGAAGGCAGCUCGCUGGGACGUGACUGACGCUGAGACGCGAAAGCGUGGGAGCAACAGG
rnacentral:rRNA from 1 species